UGGGGAAUAUUGGACAAUGGGCGCAAGCCUGAUCCAGCCAUGUCGCGUGAGUGAUGAAGGCCUUAGGGUUGUAAAGCUCUUUUGUCCGGGACGAUAAUGACGGUACCGGAAGAAUAAGCCCCGGCUAACUUCGUGCCAGCAGCCGCGGUAAUACGAAGUGGGCUAGCGUUGCUCGGAAUCACUGGGCGUAAAGGGCGCGUAGGCGGCUAUUUAAGUCGGGGGUGAAAGCCUGUGGCUCAACCACAGAAUUGCCUUCGAUACUGGAUAGCUUGAGUAUGGGAGAGGUUGGUGGAACUGGGGGUGUAGAGGUGAAAUUCGAAAAUAUGCGCAAGAACGCCGGUGGCGAAGGCGGCCGACUGGACCAUUAAAGCCGAUGAGGCGCGAAAGCGUGGGGAGCAAACAGG
rnacentral:rRNA from 1 species